UUAAAAGCAGUGAAAAGGAAAAGUAUUUAAAGUCUAUAGCUUACAGAGAGUGGAGAUUGGUGAAAAUCCAUAGUUUAUAGUUUAAAGAAAAUCACCUUGGAGUUGAAUGCUGAAAUUAUAGUAAGCUUAUCCGUAAUCUCGCGUUAAGAGAUAGGGCAUGAAAGUGCUUGAAAUUUAUAUCCAUAGGUGGUAUAGCGAGUUUAACUUCGUCCUAUUU
rnacentral:ncRNA from 1 species